rnacentral:lncRNA from 1 species
GAAACCGAACACUUGACAUAAACGUCUUCACCAGAGUAAAUAAGAAGAAUCCCCUCCAUGACAUGCAAAAGAAAAGAUACUGGAGAGAUCGUCUCUGCUCUGAGGUUAUUAUCCAGUGGUCUUUGGUUUUGGUACGUUGUCCCCCACCCCAUGCCCUUCUCCCUCAUCUUUAAUGAGUAUCUGUAUGUGUGGCAGAAGAGCAUGUUUUUAAGUCUCUGCACUCUUGGACCAAGCUCGUUCUGUUCCCCACUCUAGGAGAAUCUCAAGAGCACAGGAUUCUGUUUGGGGUUGCUAUGGACACACAGUUCUUAUUCCAGUACUGGCUUCUUCUCAAUACGAGAGAAAGUUGUACUGAAGACACAAGACCUGAGACUUAUGUCAUUUUAGCAGCUGAACCGACCCCAGCCUCUUGUGAGCGGCAGUGGUGCCGGAAGCAGUCUAGCCUACAGUAGAAUUAUGGAUUCAUUAACAGUGUCUACCAUAACAGCAUCUGACAACUAUGACCAUAAUGGUCCCUAUCCGAAUGACCUGGCGGGAGUCAUUAUUGAUCGACCCACCGAUGACAGUCCACCCACUAAUGAAUUGACAACAGCAAACCCAGAGGCACGUAUCAAUGAAAGUCCCUAUCCGAAUGACCUGGCGGGAGUCAUUAUUGAUCGACCCACCGAUGACAGUCCACCCACUAAUGAAUUGACAACAGCAAACCCAGAGGCACGUAUCAAUGAAAGUCCCCAUCCUGAUGACCUGGUGGAAGUCGUCAUCGAUACAGACACCGACGACAUGUGAGUUAUAAAGGAUGUUCACACUAACAUAGAGAUACAAACAAAACAGUGACAGAG